GCCGUGCAGCUGGAGACCCGGCAGGGAGCUGAUGUUCCGGUUGUAGGGCUGUGCAGCCGGAGACCCAGGGGGAAGCUGAUGUUCCAGUUGUAGGGCCGUGCUACUGGAGACCCAGGGGUGGAGCUGAUGUUCCAGUUUGAGGGCCAUGCAGUUGAUGACCCGGCGGGGAGCUGAUGUUCAAGUUUGAGGUCUGUGCAGCUGGAGACCCGCGGGGGAGCUGAUGUUCCAGUUUGAUGGCCAUGCAGCUGGAGGCUCUGAUGGGAGCUGAUGUUGCAAUUUGAGGGCCAUGCAGCUGGAGACCUGGCAGGGAGCUGAUGUUCCAGUUUGAGGGCCGUGCAGCUGGAGACCCGGCAGGGAACUGAUGUUCCAGUUUGAGGGCCAUGCAUCUGGAGACCUGGGCGGGGAGCUGAUGUUCCAGUUUAAGGCCAUGCAGCUGUAUGCCCGGGGGGAACUGAUGUUGCAGUUUGAGGGCCAUGCAUCUGGAGACCCGGUGGGGAGCCAGUGUUGCAGGUUGAGGGCCGUGCAGCUGGAGACCCUGUGGGGAGCUGAUGUUCCUGUUUGAGAGCCGUGCAGCUGGAGAUCCUGUGGGGAGCUGAUGUUCCUGUUUGAGAGCCGUGCAGCUGGAGAUCUGGUGGGGAGCUGAUGUUCCUGUUUGAGAGCCGUGCAGCUGGAGAUCCUGUGGGGAGCUGAUGUUCCUGUUUGAGAGCCGUGCAGCUGGAGAUCUGGUGGGGAGCUGAUGUUCCAGUAUGAGGGCCGUGCAGCUGGAGACCUGGUGGGGAGCUGAUGUUCCAGUUUGAGGGCCGUGCAGCUGGAUACCCGGCAGGGAGCUGAUGUUCCAGUUUGAGGGCCGUGCACCUGGAGACCCGGCAGGGAGCUGAUGUUCCAGUUUGAGGGCUGUGCAGCUGGAUACCGGGGGUGGAGCUGAUGUUCCAGUUUGAGGGCCAUGCAUCUGGAGACCCAGUGGGUAGCCAGUGUUGCAGGUUGAGGGCUGUGGAGCUGGAGACCCGGGUUGGGGGGAGCUGAUGUUCCAGGUUGAGGGCCAUGCUGCUGGAGAUCCAGCGGGGAGCUGAUGUUGCAGUUUGAGGCGGUGCAGCUGGACAUGCAGGGGGGAAGUGAUGUUGCAAUUUGAGGGCUGUGCAGCUGGAGACCCUGUGGGGAGCUGAUGUUCCUGUUUGAGGGUUUCGGAGCUGAUGUUCCAGUUUAAGGCCAUGCAGCUGGAGACCCGGUGGGGAGCCGAUGUUCCAGUUUGAGGGCCAUGCAUCUGGAGACCCGGUGGGGAGCUGAUGUUGCAGGUUGAGGGCCGUUCAUCUGGAGACCCAGUGGGGAGCUGAUGUUGCAGGUUGAGGGCUGUGCACCUGGAGCCCCGGGGUGGAGCUGAUAUUCCAGUUUGAGGGCCGUGCAGCUGGCAAUCUGGUGGGGAGCUGAUGUUCCAGUUUGAGGGCCAUGCAGCUGGAGACCCGGCAGGGAGCUCAUGUUCCAGUUUGCAGGCAGUGCAGCUGGAGACCCGGCGGGGAGCUGAUGUUCCAGUUUGAGGUCCGUGCAGCUGGAGAUCUGGUGGGGAGCUGAUGUUCCAGUUUGAGGGCCCUGCAGCUGGAGACCCAUGGGGAUCUGAUGUUCCAGUUUGAGGGUGGUGCUGCUGGCGACCCAGGCGGGAGCUGAUGUUCUAGUUUUAGGGCCCUGCAGCUGGAGACCCGGGGAGGAGCUGACGUUCCCAUUCGAGGGCUGUGCAGGUGGAGACCUGGGGAGGAGCUGAUGUUGUUCUAAUUUGAGUGUGGUGCAGCUGGAGAUCCAGGGAUGAGAUGGCCCUGCAGUUCAAAUAUGAGGGUCCCGGAGCUGGACUCUACGUGAGGAACCAAUGCUGCCUCUGAUGUCUUAGGUUGUGGAGCUGGAAACUCGUGGAGGAGCUGGUAUUGGUGUUUCUAGUUGAGGGUUGUGGUAUUUCCAGGGUUUCACAAAGGCCAGAUUUUAUUUCAGUUACUGAGAAGAGAAAGAAAAUGUCUUCUGAAAGAGGUGAACUCAGUCAUUACCAAUAGAAAAAGUAUCCACUGUAUUUAUCUCUUAUACAAACAGAAAAAUAUAACAUUUUCCCCCUUAGAAUAAUAUAUAUAUAUAUAUAAAACUUAAGGUUCUAUUGUAUGUAUCCGAACAACAAAAUCUGGAAACCAGCAUGAAACUCUAUUAUUCACAUGUUAAAAUGUUGAAACUAUGACCAAAAUAUGAAAACUGCUGGAGCUAUCAGAAAGACACAAGACAAAAAGCUUCUUGCAUAUGUAUAAACUAAAUGUGAUAAUCUCAAAAAACUGUUCAAAAUUAUAAUUACUUUCCAGUUUAAAAACUUUAAUCCUAAAUUAAAAAAAAAAAAUCUAUACACAAACCACUGAUUUGCCCAGAGCAAAGAAAGAAAGAAAGAAAGAAAGAAAGAAAGAAAGAGAAAUCAGCGGUAAGGUAAGCAGGACCCAGAGGAGCUGAUAUUCACAGUUCUUACAUGUACAACUCUUUCAGGAAUUAUCCAUAAAGUACUUUAUUUUACAACCUGCUUUACUUGUAAAACUAAAGGUGCACUUUUUUACAUAAAAGUUUUAUACAGUGUUAAAACCAGAACUGUGUGUAAAAUACUGCAUGUAAAUGUUUCUAAAUAGUCUUGUUCCAGUGGUUCAUCGGUGACUUCUGUGGCUUCGUCAUCAUUAUCCAUGGAUGAUUCUGAAAGAAUCUCUCCAGUUUUACUGGAAUUGGAUCCUACUAAUUCUUCUGUUUCACGGCAGUCAGAAGAACCACUACUUUCAGGGCCUUCGUUUUCACUACCUUCAGAAUGUAGUAAAUCUUUCUCAGCUUGAGACACAUCAGAUUCCUCCAUUUCAUUAUUUUCCUCAGAAGUCUCUUCAUUCACAGUUGAGGCAUCAUCAGAUUCUUUUUCUUGGUUUUUUCUUUCUGGGACCAUUUCUCUUGAUGUCAUAAAAGACUCUAAAAAUAAGCAAAUGUUGUUGUACUUAAAUUUUAUAUUCAAAAUACCUCCACAGUUAAGUUUUGUGAAUUCUGAUGUUCUGUAGUUCAAAUCACAUCCCCUGAAAUUCAGCAGCAACUGCAUACAGGUGGGAGAAAAGCCCAGCGUCGACAUUACAAGGAGUUCCAUGAUGUACAAUUCUUUCACGAAAACAAUGAAUGCAAGAAUUUGAGGAUCUCCUUACUCCUCCCUUUUACAGAUGGUCUCUCAAUCCCUUCUUCUUCCUCUUCAUCUUCAUCUUCUUCUGAACGCGCUGCCGGGUACCACGGCUUUCUUUGUCUUUAUCGUGAGAUGAAGGUGAUGCUUCUGUUUCUUCUACCAUAACUGAAGAAAUUUCGCUGCAAGUCUCUUGACUGGCUGUUUCUCCGACUUCGCCUUUUUGUCAAACGUGAGUCUUUUUACCUCAUGCCCCUCAGCUUCCACAGCAUCUUCAUCUGGAUGUUUAUUUCUCAAAGGGCUCACUGAGGAAACUUCUGAUUCAGAUGUCGAAGAGUCACUGUGAGUUUUCUCUUCAUUUUGCUGCAAAUUUGCCUCUUUGCUGUCUGUGCUCUCAGGCCACCCAUUUGUUGUCAUGGGGGCUGACAGAGAAACCUUUGGUCGAUUACGUGGCCUGGGUGUCCCAGGCCCAUUUAUAUUAGACCUCUCAGUAUAGCUUGGUGCAUUUCCAGGAAACAUCACACCAUUCAUUCGAUUUAAACUAUUGGAAUUGUUUUUCUCUGAAGAAGGAUAAACACAGCUAACAACCAUCACGUUCUUUUCUACUCCUCUGAGAAAUUUGUCUGUUCCUGUAUAGUUUCUCCUUGGAUCUGUUAACAAUUCACAUAGUCGCUGAAUAGUAAAAGGGAUACGGUUAAAUCCAGUGACAGUUUUCAGUAUUCUUCCCUUUGUUUCAUCAAAGGGAAUAUAUUCGACUUUAGGGUUGGGAGGACCUCUUGGCGCAGGAGCUGAAGUUCUGAAAUCAUCUAUCACUUUCUCCAGUUUGAAAAUAAAAUAGCCUUUAAAUUGGGACCACUGAAUCUGUUUCUCCAGUCUUGGCUACAUGACAAAGGAACUGAUCCAGGACAGGACAGACUUUCUUUUUUGCCUCUUCUCAAAAUCUUCCAGCGCCUCCUGGAGCCUGUCGACGUCCAUGGCUUCCCAGAGUCCCUCACAGCCUCCGUCUCCCUCCGCGGGUCUCUUGGGGACCGGAACGCCUCCCCCCACCCCCCGACAUCCUCCCACUCCCUCGCACACCCUCCAGCACGCAGGCCAAGUGGGGUGGGGGGGAACGAAGGGAGCCAGGGGAAGCGUGUGAGAGAGUGAGACCGACAGAGUGAGCACCUCCCCAAGCCGCUACCACCAGCCCUCCAACAUGGCGCCUGGCACAUCACCCUAAAAAGUCAUUUCUUGGAGAAGCGAUGGAUGACAGAGAUUAAUCUGAGAGUUACUAUUAAUGGAGAAACUUAGAACUUACCAUUUUUCCUGUGAGGUUUCGGUGCUGAUACUUCUAUUCUGUGAGUUCUGGCAAUUGUGUCCGUUCACCCAGCCUGGUGAUGCAGCAGGUGUCACAGAAGGACCCUGUCCCAGCUGGUCCUGCUCCACUGCUAGGAUGGUGUGGCCUCUGAUCUGUGACCGUGUCUUGAGGGGAGACCAGGCCCUUGAUCACAAGCGUAUCCAUGGUGAGGUUCCGUGGAUGGAAGCUCAUGGAUGUUCCUUCCUGAUGUUCAUCUGCCACCAUGCUAUUGAAUGCAUCUUGUUUAUAACUGUCUUCUAAAUAUUGAAUAGAAAUAAAGCAUUUGUACAGUAUGGUUAAGGUAUAAAGAAUAUUGACACAUUGGACACAGAGGACCUCCACCAAGUUUAGGGAGUAGAAUCUGAAGAGACAUAGCUUUGGAUGCUCCCUGGAGGCCCUGCCUGAGUCCCAGUCCCUUCCCUUCUCCUACGGAGGGAAUCAUUUCCUGCUUUAGUCUUUAUUAUUUGCACACUUUCCUUCAUAGUAUGUUUCUUUCACCGUGUGUGUACAUCCCUAAAAGAUAUGCCAUUUAGUUUUUGAACUUUCUGUUUUCUUUUUGAGGCAGGGUCUUGCUCUGUUGCCUCGGCUGUAGUUUUGAACUUUGACGUGAGGGAAUUCUCCUGCGUGGCUGCUCCUGCACUGCAUGGCUCUGAGCACCUGCUCUGUGUCUAUUUUUGUCCUCCAUUCUCUCCCUGAGACCCACCCACACUGACAUGGCUCAUUUUCAUUGCUGCAUGGUCUCCCGUCGUCUGAGGGGAGCAUGGGAAAUGUCUUCAUCUUCCCGUGGAUGAGUGUUUGGCCAGGUUGGGGCCCUUAGGACUGUGUUUUGUUGGGAACGUUCUUGGGCAUUUCUUUUGUACACAGCGCAAGUUUCUUCUGGUCAGUAGCUUUCAAAUUUUAAAAUUUCAUCCCAGGUAAAAAUGUAAUUUUCCUCAUAACCCACAACACACACUCUUUCAUAUACAAGCAUAGCAGAAAUAUACUUCACAAGCGUUAGCAGUGCCUGUUGUUCCUGCUUCUCUCCAUUCUCCCCAACGCUGGCAUGGAUUGGGUUGUGGGAUUUUUGCCCGUCUGGUGGUUGUCACGUGAUAUCUCCCCCUGUUAGGCUGAGCCCCUCUUCAUGUUUUCAUUAGCCAUUCCUCCACAUUUCCUCUUCUGUGGAGGGCCGGUUCAGCUCUUUUGCCCAGUUUCUGUUAAGUUGUUUGAAUUUUUGCACUUUUCCUUUAUUAUUCCUAUUACUAUGUUUUUGAGACAGAAUAUCACUCUGUCACCCAGGCUGGAUGUGAUCUCAGCUCACUGCAACCUCCAUCUUCUGGGUUCAAAUGAUUCUCCUGCCUCAGCCUCCCAAGUGGCUGGGAUUACAGGCACACACCACCAUGCCCAGCUAAUUUUUAUAUGUUUACUACAGAUGGGUUUUCACUAUGUUGUCCAGGCUGGUCUGAAACUCCUGACCUCAGGUGAUUCUCCCACCUCAGCCUCCCAAAGUGCUGGGAUUAUGUGGGUGGCAAGCCACCCAGGCACCGAGGCAAGAGACAGAGGACACGAGCUGUUCCAGUAUAAUAAAAUAUAAAACAAGAAUAGUUAUGCCAGAUAUAGAUCUUAGAUAUGAUUAUAUAUGAAUAUCAUUAAUCAUUAGUUUGUAGCAAUUGCUUUUUAUUCCAAUAUUAUGAUAAUCCUCGCUCUAUAAUCAUAGUGUAGGAAAAACCAGGCCAUACAGAGAUAGGAGCUGAGGGGACAUAGUGAGGUGUGACCAGAAGACAAGAGUGCGAGCCUUCUGUUAUGCCCGGACCGGGCCACCAGAGGGCUCCUUGGUCUAGCGGUGAUGCCAGCGUCUGGGAAGAUGCCUGUUACCAGGCGGAUCGUGGUCCAGCAGUAGCAAAAGGUGUCAAGGAACAACACCCGAUACUUAGCAGACCAGGAAAGGGCGGGGGGGGGGGGGGUCUCCCUUUCCCCGGGGGAGUUUAGAGAAGACUCUGCUCCUCCACCUCUUGUGGAGGGCCUGACAUCAGUCAGGCUCGCCUGCAGUUAUCCGGAGGCCUAACCGUCUCCCUGUGAUGCUGUGCUUCAGUGGUCACGCUCCUAGUCCGCCUUCAUGUUUCAUCCUGUACACCUGGCUCUGCCUUCUAGAUAGCAGUAGUAAAUUAGUAAAAAUACUAAUAGUCCCUGAUAUGCGGAAAUAAUGGCAUAAGCUGUCUUUCUCUCUGUCUCCUCUCCCUCUCUGCCUCGGCUGCCAGGCAGGGAAGGGCCCCCUGUCCAGUGGACACGUGACCCACGUGACCUUACCUAUCAUUGGAGGUGACUCACAUUCUUUACCCUGCCCCUUCUGCCUUGUAUCCAAUAAAUAACAGCGCAGCCAGACAUUCGGGGCACUACUGUUCUCCGCGCAUUGGUGGUAGUGGUCCCCCAGGCCCAGCUGCCCUUUCUCUUAUCUCUUUGUCUUGUGUCUUUAUUUCUACAACACUCUCUCGUCGCCGCACACAGGGAGAGACCCACCGACCCUGUGGGGCUGGUCCCUGCAGGGUUAUAGGCAUGAGCCACCAUGCCCGGCCUGCUUUUUUCUUUUUCAAAAGGCCUGUUUCUAGAUUAUACCUAUUCAUUCCGGUGACUAUAUGUGGGGCAAAGAUGGGUUUGAAUCCACCAGGAUAAACGUGCCGGAUCUCCUCUCUGAUGGAAGAAGAGACAGGGAUAGAAGGGUACAGAGAAUCAGAGCCAAGAGGAGGCUGAGUCAGGCGGGGGUUGCAGGCUGCUGUGAGGACUUGGCUGCUUCUCUGAGACUGGUGGGAUUAGCAGGGGAUUUAAACAGAGGAACCGUGGGAUCUCCCUUAUGCAUUUCUGCCAUGGUUGGCUCAGCUGAACGCACCUCUUGAGCAAGACUUGGUCUUGGACACCCAGAGGCCCUUGGUUGAGGGUUUACCUCCUGGCGUGGCCACUGACACAUCCACGUUUGGCUCCCACACGGCUGGGCGGCCCCGAGACCUGCUGUGCCUGCCCUUCUCAUUGGUGGCAUUUCUCAAGUUUGUCCCCUCUCAAGUCUGCCCCAUCCGGAAAACCAAACACCUCUCUCUCCUACAUGGAAACCCCCGUCAGCACCUCCUCCUGACUCACAGGGCAUCCCGUCAACAUCACAGUCCCAACCUUCCCACACGGACAAGCUCAUGGGACCCCCUGAUGGACCAGGACAGCGCCAGCACUAAGACGUGCCCUGGAACUCACAGGAAGAGCGGACCAAGAAGCCGGGAACAGCACGGGGCACUGGGAGCUGCAAACGCCCACGAUACUGUGAGAGACGGAGAAAGGUAUGACAGGUGGAGCGGACCAAGAAGACGGGAACAGCACGGCGCACUGGGAGCUGCAAAUGCCCCCGAUACCGUAAGAGAUGGAGAAAGGUAUGGCCAUGGCGGUCACAAAAUGUUACUCAACAUUUAUUAAAGGCCUAAAUGGAGAACCUAACGCUAUCAAACCCUUAGCUAAAAACACAGGGGAAAAUUCGUAUGGCCUGGGGUUAGGCGAAAAGUUCUUAGACAUGACACCAAAAGCAUGAUUCAUAAGAUUGACAAAUUAAAUGUAGUCAUAAAUUUAAAAUUAUAAUUCUAUAAAGCAAUAUAAAAAUCCAAAGAGAAUGAAACACAAACUAUGGUCUAGAAAUAAACAUUUGUGAAUCACACAUCUCACAACCUACUGGCACGCAGGAUAUAUGAAGAACCAUCAAAACUUAACCAUAAGAAAGUAAAAACCCCAGUAUUAAAGAGAGGGCCAAUAUUGGAACGGAGGCCUCAUCAAAGAAGGUAUAAGGAGGGCAUAUUGCCCGAGAAAGAGGCUCAACAUCAUAGAGAUGCUGGAGAAAUGCCAGUCAGCAGUACCUCUGCAAAUCCAUUAAAAUGGCUAAAAACAGACAAAACCCAUGGGCCAACCCAGGUUCUAGUGAUGAUGCAGAGGAACUGGGACCCUCAUAAGCUGCAGUGGGAAUGGGAGGGGUCCCGCCAUGCUGGAAAGUGGUCCGGGAGUUUCUUACGAAGUUAAGCACAUCCUUACCAUGUCAUCCAGCAACCCCACUGCUGAAAUGUCCCCCAAGGGAAAACUUAAACGUGCACACACAAACCUGCACACAAGUGUUUAGGCCUCAUUCCUCAUUGCCAAUAACUGGAAGAAAACAAAAUGUCCGUCGGCAGGAGCAGGAGAAGGCGUGAACCAACGCGGAUGCUUCCACAUAGGGGACACCAACCAGCGGUGGAAAGAUGCACCCAAAUGCGCCAGGUCUCCCAGGCUACAUGCCCGGUGAAGGAAGCUAGUUUCGGUGGCCACAGGCCGAAGGAUGCCAACACAUGACAUCUUGGAGAAGAC
rnacentral:lncRNA from 1 species